rnacentral:lncRNA from 1 species
GGGACGUGAGUGUGAGUUCUGAUUGCCUGUGUGCCCCGCAACUCCCGGCUUCAACGCAUCACUGUGCUUUUUCGUAAACGUCAGCAGCGAUUGUCCUCAGAGCUGCAUUAAAUUAAAUUGAUCUGCUCCUGCUCAAUAUGCCGCAGUAAUACCGUUAGGCUGGCCCGGCACUUGUAAUGGCGAGAUGUAAGUUGGUCAGUCGCUAGGUCACAUCUUCCACAGCAUGAAACUCGGAGGGAGGAAAGACGUUGUUUCGCGAUGAUGGUGGAAGGAGAUCUGUUGCCAUCAUCAUCAUCAUCGUACAUGUACAAUACGAUGAUGGCAUAUCGUCACACAUGCAAAACCUAGGCGACAAGCUCUCCUGUUUUGCUGAGCAAGCUGCCGCUCUACACACCAGGUUCAGGCCAAACAAAAUCCAGCCUCACCUCCUAUCGGGUUACAACUCCCUUCGGAUGCCAUUACGUCUCUAGAAGGUGGUACCUCUGCUCCAAAAAAGGAUACAGCCCUGCACCCCCCUCGACCCGUGUGGAACCCAGCACAUUCCAACCACCCGUCCUACCGUCCAUCGGUAUCUGUCAAUCUGUCCGUCUGUCUGUCCAUCUGUCUGUAGCCGUGUUUCCCAACUACCUGUGUUUUAUGCCGACCCCCAGCCAGCCUAAGUUGGCAGGUAUGCGGCUCGACAUUUAAUGUAUACGACCCUUGCCUACGGAACCAG